rnacentral:rRNA from 1 species
AGUGAACGCUGGCGGUAGGCCUAACACAUGCAAGUCGAACGGCAGCACAGUAAGAGCUUGCUCUUACGGGUGGCGAGUGGCGGACGGGUGAGGAAUACAUCGGAAUCUACUUUUUCGUGGGGGAUAACGUAGGGAAACUUACGCUAAUACCGCAUACGACCUACGGGUGAAAGCAGGGGAUCUUCGGACCUUGCGCGAUUGAAUGAGCCGAUGUCGGAUUAGCUAGUUGGCGGGGUAAAGGCCCACCAAGGCGACGAUCCGUAGCUGGUCUGAGAGGAUGAUCAGCCACACUGGAACUGAGACACGGUCCAGAAUCCUACGGGAGGCAGCAGUGGGGAAAAUUGGACAAUGGGCGGAAGCCUGAUCCAGCCAUACCGCGUGGGUGAAGAAGGCCUUCGGGUUGUAAAGCCCUUUUGUUGGGAAAGAAAAGCAGCAGGUUAAUACCCCGCUGUUCUGACGGUACCCAAAGAAUAAGCACCGGCUAACUUCGUG